rnacentral:snRNA from 1 species
AUACUUACCUUAAGACGUCAGGGGAGAUCAUGAAGUCCUACUGACCGGAUAUGCCUUUCAUGAGGGAUACUUGUUUUAUUAAGGAAACAAGUUCCCUUGCACAGUUUUCUUUUGGAAAAUUGCACACAUUUGCGAAAGGUGUGUUUGCUGACGUCCUCGUUCCCUCGUCUUGUCGGUUCUAUGGCGCUCGCGCUAUGUGCUGAUCGAGGCCCUUUUUUUUUCCUGCCUGGAGGAGUAUGGUGCUGAUUACAAGUCAGCGCUGGGGGAGCUGGAUCGAGAAUUCUUGUUUGAGUAUCAACCACGCUUUCAAAGAAAACCAAUUCCUUAAGCUUUGGAUAUUGAAUCUCUUCGAGGAGCCCUUUGGGGUUCUUUUGAAGGGCUGAGAUCUCCUUCUAAGCUUUUGAGAAGGUUUGUUUUCUGUGGUUUGGCAUGAGAGAAGUCUUGAUUUGGUAGAGGCGGGUGGGUCUUAUAAUUUUUGAUGUCUACCCUU